rnacentral:lncRNA from 10 species
GCUAAGACUCAGUGCCAGGCAUCUGCAAGGCAGCUAGGGCAGCAUAAGAUCAUUUCAGAAUGAAGAUGCUUUGGGAUCUGACUUCGGACUGUAAGAAUGACAAACUCUGAAUGGGUGCAAAGGUAGCAGAUGACCUUCAAAGGAUGCUACGUGUAUGUGUUUCUAAGCAAAACUUCUUGGAAGAAAAGGAAAUUCUUAGAAGCAAUUAGAGUAUCACACCCAUGCUAUACCCUUUGAUUCAUUAGCUUGCUCUGUUUUUCUGUUAUUUUGAAAUUACCCAAGUGGAAGCAGAAAAACUGCCAGGAAAAUGUCACAGCCACCCCUUACUGAACAGCAGAAACACCAGCAAAACACCAACUGCAACAUGGUGUAUUUUGAAGGUGAGAUUAAAUUUACCUACACCUAGAGAAAUAAUUGGAGCACAUGUCUAUUUGGGCCAAGAGGAUAAAGGCCAGUAGAGGAAUCAGAUCAAAGAACUUCCUCAGGGAAGUGUGCAGAGAACUGGAGUGGACCUUCCCCUAGGAAGCUGCCCAAAACGAGAGUGCUGGAAAGCUGGCCGCAGUGAGGCACUUCAGAUCCCAAGGGUAUGCUGGGGAAGCUGCCACAGGUGGGAGCACUUGCUGCUGGACCCUAGGCACUGUUGAAACAACUGCACCAUCUGCAGGAGCCCAGCAAGGCUUUCAAAUUACAUCUGAAGAAGACAAGGCAAAUAGUUAUUUAGGUCAGCGUAGUUUUCAUCUGUGUUUAUUUUCUGUGUAUAUUACUUAACAAACAACAUAAAUGAAAAGGCACUUAGUCUUAACACAGAAAAACUGAAAUCUGUCUUUUUAAAUCUAAUUCUAGUCAAUUAAAAUCAAACCAGAAUUUAUACUUUUUCGUUAUCUUGGGGCAGAGACUGAGACUUUGGUAGAUUUGCUGAUUUGUUGUUUGCUGAGCUAAAGAUCUUUCCUCCAACACCCCGCUCCAACAUACUCACAUAUUCACGAAACACAACAGUGACCCUGUACAAGAAAUCACCAUCCUGGGCAAUCAUUACCCUGACAAGAAAUCAGCACAUGAAGAUGUUUGCUACCAAGGUGGGGCUGCACAGCUCAGGCACUGCUCAGCUAAGUCCCCUAGGAGAGACAUUGCAGAGGCUUUGUCAGGGCUGCAGCCGACAGCUACAUGGGAAUUGGGAUUCACUGACUUGCCCAGCCUCCUUGCUUUCUCUAUUCCUGAAGAGGAUGAAGAAGACAAUCCAGAAUCAAGGAAGAAGAAGCAAUUUCCUCUUUGCUUAGGAGGGAUUUUGGCUAGCAUCUUUCAAACAUGAAAUAGGACCCAUGAAGGAGCUUUUCAAAACAAUCAGCAUAUAGUGAAUCACAAAUGCUAAUCUUUAGCAUUUUAAAGUAUGAUACAUUUUCUGCUACAUGUAUUUUACAAACAAAAAACAACAAAAAAAAGUGUAGGUAACAACAACAACGACAACAGCAAAAGGAUUAUGGUGAUUGCCAAGCAGUUAAUUAUUUUGUUAUUUUCUGGAUUUUAUGAUAUUUGUGGUGCUGUCAGCAUUUUAAAAUCUAUAAUAAUGUCUCAUUAUACAUAUUCACUUUAUUGAAAGAAAAUAUGGGUUAAGCACACCACCAGAAAACCAAGAAACAGAUUUUCCUUCUAUGAAUACGUCAAUAAAAAAUGAAGAUACAAUGAAGGGAAAAUUUGGAAUGUGGAAGGGAGCUUUUGGAGGCAUGGCAGAAACAUUAACACGAGUGAAGAUCUCCCAAAAGAGAACUCUGAUAGGUUUAUAGACAUUUUUUCUUUAGGGGAGUUAUAUAAGGGGAAAUACAAUCAAUUCUAGGGUUUAAAUAUACACACAGAGGACUUUACAAUUUUGAGAAAAAUAAUCACUUAAUAAAAGAAUCAAGUCUUUUAUACCUGUUAGACUCAUCAUCUCUAGGGAGAUCAUUCAUUUAACCAAGACUAUAGUCAGAGAUAUCCAAUGGGAUAACAUGAUAUCCCUCAAGAGCUUUUGAGAGAUUAGUAAUACGAUGCCAUAUCCCUUAUCAAAUAAUAUUUUGCUAGGAAUCAGAGUGUGCUGAGUUUUUAAAAGAUCAUUGUGUGAAAGAAUUUGAAAUUAUUAUUAUGAUUAUUACUAUUAUUAUUUAGCACAGAAUGACAGAAUGGUUUCAGGGACUAAUAAUCAGCCAAAUAACUCUUAAAAUUGCUUGUUACAAACAUUCCCAGGCUGAUAGUGGCCAAAACCCAUUCUGAUUGGACAGUUGUACAAUAGACUACCGUAUUUAUGUUUCCCUAAACUUAAGCCUGAAACAGGAAGAAUUUUCUGCCUU